rnacentral:rRNA from 1 species
CCUACGAGCGGCAGCAGUGAGGAAUCUUGGUCAAUGGACGAGAGUCUGAACCAGCCAAGUAGCGUGAAGGAUGACUGCCCUAUGGGUUGUAAACUUCUUUUAUAUGGGAAUAAAAUGUUCCACGUGUGGGAUUUUGUAUGUCCCAUAUGAUUAAGGAUCGGCUAACUCUGUGCCAGCAGCCGCGGUAAUACGGAGGAUCCGAGCGUUAUCCGGAUUUAUUGGGUUUAAGGGGAGCGUAGGUGGAUUGUUAAGCCAGUUGUGAAAGUUUGGGGCUCAACCGUAAAAUUGCAGUUGAAACUGGAAGUCUUGAGUACAGUAGAGGUGGGCGGAAUGCGUGGUGUAGCGGUGAAAUGCUUAGAUAUCACGAAGAACUCCGAUUGCGAAGGCAGCUCACUGGACUGCAACUGACACUGAGGCUCGAAAGUGUGGGUAUCAAACAGGAUUAGAUACCCGGGUAGUC